UGCCACCGCUAAGUCAGGACUUCUUCCAGCGACUAUUUGUCGCGCUUUCGCACAAUGGAGGCUUGUCUGUUACAGCUUUGGCAGAUUGACACUGGUCCGCGCCGAACCUCUUUCUGAGGCUAGGCUGAUUUGGCUUUCGUUUUGAAAGCUGGUCGUUAAGGACCAGGUAGUGCUUUGUUUUUGAGUUGAGGUCUGCUUCUGCCUUUGGCGGUUUACCGUAGCAGACCUCUUAGUAACAUCUCACACAUCC
rnacentral:snoRNA from 1 species